CAGUAGUUUGCACACUCGCAUCGGGAGCGCGGCGCGUCCACAGCCGUUAAACACCCAACUUCUGAAAUGUUGACCUCGGAUCAGGUAGGAAUACCCGCUGAACUUAAGCAUAUCAAAA
rnacentral:rRNA from 1 species